CCGUCCCUGCGGUUGGCGAAGGCCGCGCCCUGAGGGGACGGCGCGGGCGGGCAGAGGGGGCGGCCUGGCGCGGUCCGGCCCCGACAGGACACGGUGCUCUCCCGCCGCCUCCGAGCCCGGGCUGUAGAACCGGGAGGUUGAUGAGCCUACAAAUGCUAGCCAGACGUCCCUGUGGAAACAAACCAAAGGAAUCUCAGGAACCCCGGAUGCUUACUGGAUAAAACAUAGAAAUGUGUGCUGCUGCAGCAAAGAGGGCACAUCUUGUGGACAGAUCAAUAGCAACCAGCAUUCAGAUUUACAGUUCCCACAGACUGUGAACCUCUCAGCUUUUCACCCUUCCCUGGAUGAAAAUGAACACAUUCCAUUUGUUCCUAUUUUUAGCACCUACAUUCUCAAUCCAGUAUAAGGAGAGGCCCGACCAAAGGAAUUGUCUCAAUGUCACCUGGCACAAACACUUAAAAAUUGUUUUCAUUGCAAGGGGAGGGGUAAGUAUGUCCCUGUGAUCCAUGAAAACACAGGUGAUUUUCUUCCAUUUUACAGCACUCAUUCUCACCAGAAUUCAACAGCUGGUGUGCACAGCCCUAAACACAACCAGUUUGGGAAACAGCAUCAGCACCCACUGCACAUCCCCAGCUCCCCAUACUCUGUGUGUUAAAUAUUGGAUGCCAAGAGGAAACCUGCUGCAAGUGUCUUGGAGCUGCUCUAAAAUCUUCACUCAGGAGUCUGGAAGGAAUGUCCACAUUCACAGUGCAUUGGUAGAGACGUUGCAUAUUUCAUCCCUCUUCAAAUAUUUAUAUAUGUACUUCACGUUUGAGUAAAGCUGUCCUUUUCAUCAGAGCAGGAAGAUUACAGCAAAGGGAGGAAUUACCCUAAAUUGGCAAACAUCGUUGUCUAUUAAGUAACACAAGUGUUUUGAAAGGAGAAUCGAGUGUCUGGCAGCCAGGAGCUUGGCUUCACUGCACAGGAGAUUUCAUAAUGAUAUGUUUUGAGAUCAACCGUAAAAAAAAUAAAAACAGUAAAAAAAUCAA